GAUGAACGCUGGCGGCGUGCUUGACACAUGCAAGUCGAACGAAGCACCUCUCCCGAAGAUUGACACAGCUUGCUGUAGAUUGAUUCAUUUGAGGUGACUGAGUGGCGGACGGGUGAGUAACGCGUGGGUAACCUGCCUCAUAGAGGGGGACAACAGUUGGAAACGACUGCUAAUACCGCAUAGUAAGAAGAAUUCGCAUGUUUUCUUCUUGAAAGAUUUAUCGCUAUGAGAUGGACCCGCGUCUGAUUAGCUAGUUGGUAAGGUAACGGCUUACCAAGGCGACGAUCAGUAGCCGGCUUGAGAGAGUGAACGGCCACAUUGGGACUGAGACACGGCCCAAACUCCUACGGGAGGCAGCAGUGGGGAAUAUUGCACAAUGGGGGAAACCCUGAUGCAGCGACGCCGCGUGAGUGAAGAAGUAUUUCGGUAUGUAAAGCUCUAUCAGCAGGGAAGAUAAUGACGGUACCUGACUAAGAAGCCCCGGCUAACUACGUG
rnacentral:rRNA from 1 species